AACGAACGUUAGCGGCGCGCCUAACACAUGCAAGUCGAGCGAGAAGGAAGCAAUUCCUGUAAAGCGGCGCACGGGUGAGUAACACGUAGGUAAUCUACCUCGAAGUGGUGGAUAACCUUCCGAAAGGAGGGCUAAUACAGCAUGAGACCACGGUUUCGAAAGAGAUUGAGGUCAAAGCGGGCCACUAUACAUAAGCUCGCGCUUCGAGAUGAGCCUGCGGCCCAUCAUGGUAGUUGGUAGGGUAAUGGCCUACCAAGCCGAAGACGGGUAGCUGGUCUGAGAGGAUGAUCAGCCACACUGGAACUGAGACACGGUCCAGACUCCUACGGGAGGCAGCAGUGGGGAAUCUUGCGCAAUGGGCGAAAGCCUGACGCAGCGACGCCGCGUGAGUGAUAAAGGCCUCGGUU
rnacentral:rRNA from 1 species